rnacentral:rRNA from 1 species
GGCUCAGGAUGAACGCUGGCGGCGUGCCUAAUACAUGCAAGUCGAGCGAACAGACGAGGAGCUUGCUCCUUUGACGUUAGCGGCGGACGGGUGAGUAACACGUGGGUAACCUACCUAUAAGACUGGGAUAACUUCGGGAAACCGGAGCUAAUACCGGAUAAUAUUUCGAACCGCAUGGUUCGAUAGUGAAAGAUGGCUCUGCUAUCACUUAUAGAUGGACCUGCGCCGUAUUAGCUAGUUGGUAAGGUAACGGCUUACCAAGGCAACGAUACGUAGCCGACCUGAGAGGGUGAUCGGCCACACUGGAACUGAGACACGGUCCAGACUCCUACGGGAGGCAGCAGUAGGGAAUCUUCCGCAAUGGGCGAAAGCCUGACGGAGCAACGCCGCGUGAGUGAUGAAGGUCUUCGGAUCGUAAAACUCUGUUAUUAGGGAAGAACAAACGUGUAAGUAACUGUGCACGUCUUGACGGUACCUAAUCAGAAAGCCACGGCUAACUACGUGCCAGCAGCCGCGGUAAUACGUAGGUGGCAAGCGUUAUCCGGAAUUAUUGGGCGUAAAGCGCGCGUAGGCGGUUUUUUAAGUCUGAUGUGAAAGCCCACGGCUCAACCGUGGAGGGUCAUUGGAAACUGGAAAACUGAAGCGGCGCGUAGGCGGUUUUUAGUCGAUGUGAAAGCCCACGGCUCCACGUGGAGGGUCAUGAAACUGAAACUGAGGUGCAGAAGAGAAAGUGGAAUCAUGUGUAGCGUGAAAUGCGCAGAGAUAUGGAGGAACACCAGUGGCGAAGGCGACUUUCUGGUCUGUAACUGACGCUGAUGUGCGAAAGCGUGGGGAUCAAACAGGAUUAGAUACCUGGUAGUCCACGCCGUAAACGAUGAGUGCUAAGUGUUAGGGGGUUUCCGCCCCUUAGUGCUGCAGCUAACGCAUUAAGCACUCCGCCUGGGGAGUACGACCGCAAGGGUUGAAACUCAAAAGGAAUUGACGGGGACCCGCACAAGCGGUGGAGCAUGUGGUUUAAUUCGAAGCAACGCGAAGAACCUUACCAAAUCUUGACAUCCUUUGACCCUUCUAGAGAUAGAAGUUUCCCCUUCGGGGGACAAAGUGACAGGUGGUGCAUGGUUGUCGUCAGCUCGUGUCGUGAGAUGUUGGGUUAAGUCCCGCAACGAGCGCAACCCUUAAGCUUAGUUGCCAUCAUUAAGUUGGGCACUCUAAGUUGACUGCCGGUGACAAACCGGAGGAAGGUGGGGAUGACGUCAAAUCAUCAUGCCCCUUAUGAUUUGGGCUACACACGUGCUACAAUGGACAAUACAAAGGGCAGCGAAACCGCGAGGUCAAGCAAAUCCCAUAAAGUUGUUCUCAGUUCGGAUUGUAGUCUGCAACUCGACUACAUGAAGCUGGAAUCGCUAGUAAUCGUAGAUCAGCAUGCUACGGUGAAUACGUUCCCGGGUCUUGUACACACCGCCCGUCACACCACGAGAGUUUGUAACACCCGAAGCCGGUGGAGUAACC